rnacentral:rRNA from 1 species
CGUAGGUGGCAAGCGUUGUCCGGAUUUAUUGGGUUUAAAGGGUGCGUAGGCGGUGAUUUAAGUCAGUGGUGAAAUACUUCAGCUUAACUGGAGAGGUGCCAUUGAUACUGGGUCACUUGAGUACUGAUGAGGUAGGCGGAAUGGACGGUGUAGCGGUGAAAUGCUUAGAUAUCGUCCAGAACACCGAUAGCGAAGGCAGCUUACUAAGGAGUAACUGACGCUGAGGCACGAAAGUGUGGGGAUCAAACAGGAUUAGAUACCCUGGUAGUCCACACUGUAAACGAUGAUCACUCGAUGUUGGCGAUACACAGCCAGCGUCUUAGCAAAAGCGAUAAGUGAUCCGCCUGGGGAGUACGCCGGCAACGGUG